AUGAAGAUGAGCCGGCAAUGGAUGUACGAUGACCGAUGCUCUCCCCAGUUCGUUGAGGGCGUGCAUGCUUUUCUGCUUGCGGCUGAGGCAAACAAGCGGGCGGAUGGUUUUAUGCCUUGUCCAUGUGCUCGCUGUAAGAAUGGUCACAAUUACUCUACGUCAAGAACCAUUCACGUCCACCUGUUUAAGUCCGGUUUCAUGCCCCAUUAUAAUGUUUGGACCAAGCACGGAGAAAGAGGGGUUAUGAUGGAAGACAAUGAAGAAGAAGAGGACGACGACAUCUAUCCUGGCCAUUGGUUCCCUGAAUACGAUGAUACAACAAUGGGGGAAGAAGCUGAGCCGGUAAUGCGGGAAGAAGCUAAGCCGGCAAUGCGGGAAGAAGCUGAAGAAGAGGGAUCAAAUGAGCCCGUUGAUGAUCUAGGUUGGGCCAUUGCCGAUGCAAAGAGAAACUGCGCAAGUGAUUUGGAGAAGAAGAAGUUGCAGCGCAUGUUAGAGGAUCACAAAAAAUUGUUGUACCCGAAUUGCGUAGGUGACAAGAAAAAGCUGGGCACCACACUGGAAUUGCUGCAAUGGAAGGCAGAGAAUGGUGUAUCUGACAAGGGAUUUGGAAAGUUGAUGGUAAUGAUAAAGGAUAUGCUUCCAAAGGACAACGAAUUGCCCGAGAGUACGUACGAAGCAAAGAAGGCUGUCUGCCCUCUAGGGUUAGAGGUGCAGAAGAUACAUGCAUGCCCUAAUGAUUGCAUCCUCUACCGUGGUGAGUACGAGGAUUUGAACGCUUGCCCGGUAUGUGGUGCAUUGCGCUAUAAGAUCUACCGCGAUGACCCUGGUGAUGUCGAGGGCCGGCGCCCCAGGAAGAAGAUUCCUGCCAAGGUGAUGUGGUAUGCUCCUAUAAUACCACGGUUGAAACGUUUGUUCCAAAACAAAGAGCAUGCCAAGGCGAUGCGAUGGCACAGAGAAGACCGUAAGAAAGACGGAAAGUUGAGAGUACCCGCUGACGGGUCGCAGUGGAGAAAAAUCGAAAGAAAGUACGGGAAGGAGUUUGCAGAUGACGCAAGGAGCGUAUGGUUUGGUCUAAGCACAGAUGGCAUUAAUCCUUUUGGGGAGCAGAGCAGCAACCAUAGCACCUGGCCUGUGACUCUAUGUUUGUAUAACCUUCCUCCUUGGUUGUGCAUGAAGCGGAAGUUCAUUAUGAUGCCAGUGCUCAUCCAAGGCCCUAAGCAACCCGGCAACGACAUUUAUGUGUACCUAAGGCCAUUAGUUGAAGAACUCUUACAACUGUGGAAUGGAACAGGUGUACGUGCGUGGGAUGAGCACAUGGGGGAAGAAUUUGACCUAAAGGCGUUGCUGUUCGUGACCAUCAAUGAUUGGCCUGCUCUCAGUAACCUUUCAGGACAGACAAACAAGGGAUACCGCGCAUGCACGCACUGUUUGGACGAUACCGACGGUAUAUAUUUGGCUAAUAAGAAUGUGUACCUGGGACAUCGUCGAUUUCUUCCGAGCAGGCAUCCCGUAAGAAAGAAAGGCAAGCAUUUCAAAGGUGAGGCGGAUCACCAGACGAAGCCUCGCCACCGUACUGGUGCUGAUGUACAUGAUAUGGUCAAGGAUUUGAAGGUGGUCUUUGGGAAGGGUCCUGGUGGACAACCUGUUCCGAAUUACGCUGACGGACGCGCACCCAUGUGGAAGAAGAAAUCUAUAUUUUGGGACCUGCCCUAUUGGAAAGACCUCGAGGUCCGCUCCGCAAUCGACGUGAUGCACGUGACGAAGAAUCUUUGUGUGACCCUGCUUGGCUUCUUGGGCGUAUAUGGGAAGGAAAAAGAUAUACCUGAGGCACGGGAGGACCAGCAACGUAUGCACGGAAAAGACAGCAUACAUCAGGGUCAUGCAAGCUACGCUCUUACCAAAGAAGAGAAGGAAAUCUUCUUUGAAUGCCUGCUCAGUAUUAAGGUACCGUCUGGCUUCUCGUCGAAUAUAAAGGGAAUAAUAAACAUGGCAGAGAAAAAGUUCCAGAACCUAAAGUCUCAUGACUGCCACGUGAUUAUGACGCAACUGCUUCCGGUUGCAUUGAGGGGGCUUCUACCGGAAAACGUUCGAUUAGCCAUUGUGAAGCUAUGUGCAUUUCUCAAUGCAAUCUCUUAG
rnacentral:rRNA from 1 species